UACGAAGGGUGCAAGCGUUAAUCGGAAUUACUGGGCGUAAAGCGCGCGUAGGUGGUUCAGCAAGUUGGAUGUGAAAGCCCCGGGCUCAACCUGGGAACUGCAUCCAAAACUACUGAGCUAGAGUACGGUAGAGGGUGGUGGAAUUUCCUGUGUAGCGGUGAAAUGCGUAGAUAUAGGAAGGAACACCAGUGGCGAAGGCGACCACCUGGACUGAUACUGACACUGAGGUGCGAAAGCGUGGGGAGCAAACAGG
rnacentral:rRNA from 2 species